rnacentral:lncRNA from 1 species
GCUAGUAAGAAAAUGAAGGAACCAUUAAUUACACAAAGUCGUCAUCAACAUAUACAAAGAGAAGUGACCUCCCUUUCUCCGAGAUUGGUCGAACAACAAGUUUUCGUAUAUCUAUCUGACGCUGCUAUAUGUGUACAAUAUAACAUCUCUUACAAUCCCUAACAUCUAAAAUCCAUUUCAACUUCCACAUGGCAUUAUCCGUCUUUAUGUAUGAUGUGGUCAAUAAAGAAUCCCUCUAAUUCCGCAUCUGCCACAACUAAUUUAAAGAAGGGGGUCAAUACAUAUAUAUGAAUGAAACUCAACACAAUUGAUGGUAAUAAAAUAAAUUGUGAAUAUUGUUUGCGUACUUCAUAUUGUUUGUCAGAGUAGCCCCGAUGAGAGCUCGAGUUGUAGAUGAACUCGCAAGCGUAGUAUCCACAUAAAUUAUGCCCGCCUUCCUGCCA